UUCUUGUUAUCCUAUUUUCUAAUUCACAAUCCCAAAUCUAAAAUAUUUCUCUAUAAAAAUGAAAACUUUCCAGAAAUAGAAUUUAUGAGAAUUUUAUUUUAAAAAUACAACCUAUCACCCAAAAAAUCUAAAACAAUACUCAUAUAUCAACAAAAAUUCUUGUUAUCCUAAUUUCUAAAUCACAAUCCCAAAGGUAUAAUGUUUCUCUAUAAAAUUGACAACUUUCCUAAAAUAGAAUUUUUAAAAAUUUUAUUUAUAAAAUACCACGUAUUGAUAAAAAAAUCUAAAACAAUACUCAUCAAUCAACAAAAAUUCUUGUUAUCCUAUUUUCUAAUUCACAAUCCCAAAUCUAAAAUAUUUCUCUAUAAAAAUGAAAACUUUCCAAAAAUAGAAUUUUUGAGAAUUUAAUUUGAAAAAUACAACCUAUCA